GACGAACGCUGGCGGCGUGCUUAACACAUGCAAGUCGAACGGAAAGGCCCUGCUUUUGUGGGUGCUCGAGUGGCGAACGGGUGAGGAACACGUGAGUAACCUGCCCUUGACUUUUGGAUAACUUCAGGAAACUGGGGCUAAUACCGGAUAGGAGCUCCUGCUGCAUGGGGGGGGUUGGAAAGUUUCGGCGGUUGGGGAUGGACUCGCGGCUUAUGAGCUUGUUGGUGGGGUAGUGGCUUACCAAGGCUUUGACGGGUAGCCGGCCUGAGAGGGUGACCGGCCACAUUGGGACUGAGAUACGGCCCAGACUCCUACGGGAGGCAGCAGUGGGGAAUAUUGCACAAUGGGCGGAAGCCUGAUGCAGCAACGCCGCGUGCGGGAUGACGGCCUUCGGGUUGUAAACCGCUUUCGCCUGUGACGAAGCGUGAGUGACGGUAAUGGGUAAAGAAGCACCGGCUAACUACGUG
rnacentral:rRNA from 1 species